GACGUAGGGCGCGAGCGUUGUCCGGAAUUAUUGGGCGUAAAGAGCUUGUAGGCGGUUUGUCGCGUCUGCUGUGAAAAUCCGGGGCUCAACCCCGGACUUGCAGUGGGUACGGGCAGACUAGAGUGUGGUAGGGGAGACUGGAAUUCCUGGUGUAGCGGUGAAAUGCGCAGAUAUCAGGAGGAACACCGAUGGCGAAGGCAGGUCUCUGGGCCACUACUGACGCUGAGGAGCGAAAGCGUGGGGAGCGAACAGG
rnacentral:rRNA from 1 species